GAAACCGUUUAGGGGUAAACCUGAGAAACCCGAAAGGUCGAAGGAAGAAAUUCAAUCGUGCUCGAUAGGGUUAUGAUGCGGUUAUGGUGUCGAAAAAUGAAUUCGUUCAUUUUUUGCCCUACCGUAUGAUAUAUGUACCUUGUUGAACGCGUGCACUUUUCUUCUGGUAGGACGUCGCGAUCCGUUGGGUGUUGAUCUACGGUUCAGAUGGUAGCCCGUUUUAWUUGUUCCUUCCAGAUCAUUUAGAACGGACCUUUGAUACCCGAUCAACUGGCUCGACGGUAUAAUUGUGAUGGUUUUAGGCCGCUCUUUUUGGAGCGUUCGGCUUGUAGCAAGCACGUCAAAUGUUUUGGUACAUCGGACCUAGUGCCGUGUCCAAUCCUUGAUGUCUGUUGGCUGCUUUGUCUCGAACAGACCGUAUAAACCGAUCAGCGACGAUAUAGCUUUGGGUAAUUUCAGGACCCGUCUUGAAACACGGACCAAGGAGUCUAGCAUGUACGCAAGUCAUUGGGAAUCACAAAACCUAAAGGCGCAAUGAAAGUAAACGUUUUCCUUUACGGUUAACGAUGGGAAGACGGGUGUUUUGACUUUACAGUCGGCAUUCAGCAUUCCCGGGGCGUCUCAUUCACAUUGUGUGAAGAGGCGCACCAUGAGCGUACACGCUGGGACCCGAAAGAUGGUGAACUAUGC
rnacentral:rRNA from 1 species